UACGUAGGGGGCAAGCGUUGUCCGGAAUCAUUGGGCGUAAAGAGCGCGUAGGCGGCCCUGUAAGUCCGCUGUGAAAGUCAAGGGCUCAACCCUUGAAUGCCGGUGGAUACUGCAGGGCUAGAGUCCGGAAGAGGCGAGUGGAAUUCCUGGUGUAGCGGUGAAAUGCGCAGAUAUCAGGAGGAACACCGAUGGCGAAGGCGCAUCCUGGACCGGCAUUGACGCUGAGGAGCGAAAGCCAGGGGAGCAAACGGG
rnacentral:rRNA from 1 species